GAGACGCGGCUGCGUAGACUCCUCCCUAACUCUAGUUAGGGAGUUAACGCCGGGAUGGAUAGGUCCCGCACCACGACAUUAAACCCUCGAUAUAGACUAUAGACAUUCAUCGAGGCGGUGUUCUGAACAUUGAGUGGACGUCGUUGGCGUCCGCGGCGUUUCUCGGCUUCGGUGUGGACGUUUUGCCUCAGCUUGUGACGAGCCGCAGACGACUGCGGGACCUGGCUGUAGUCGUCGACGGCCCUGUUGUGGCUUCAGCUCUCGCCGGUGAUUCGAGAAUCUUCCAGAGACCGACGACUGAACCUGAACGAAUCCCUUUGAAACGGAUCAGAAGUUUCUGGCACCACUUCAGCUCCUUCCACGGAGAAGAGCAUAAGAUGACGGUGAUGAUGAUCCUGAUGAAGGCCACAAACCUAAAUGUGUCACUCAAGCAGUAAAGUUUCUAAAUCAUUCAAAUGUUUCUCGAGCUCUAACUUUCUACUUCCCUAUUGCUUCAGGACUCUGUGUGUUGAUUUCAAUGACAGCUUAUUUAUUAAUAAGUAAUUAUUAAUAUUAUUGUUGAAAAAAACUCCAAAUUGAACAAGUUUCUGUUUGCUUAUUGUUUCAGGACUGUGUGUUGAUCUUACUGACAGCUUAUUUAUUAAUUAUUUAUUAAUAAGUAAUUAUUAAUAUUAUUGCUAAACAACUCCAAAUUUAAGAAAGAGGUAAGUUUAGUUUUACAGAAGAGAUGGUCUCACCUCUCUGUCAGGUGAAUAUCUACAAAUAUAUCUACAAAUAUAUCUAUAUCUACAAAACAAAUUACAUAUGUAUCUGAAGAUGACAAUCAGCAAUGCAGCCCGAUUUAAAAAGAUCAAUAUGAAAAUAAAAGAAUGAAUCUGAACUUUUAAUGUGACUCUUUCCUUACUUGUUUAAAAUGUCUGAAUGAUCAGUCAUUAUUGCUUUUUGUGAAACCUCAACACAGAAAAAGAAUAAAAACUAAAUUAUGUGAAAUUCAUCACUUUAUUGCUCUAAGUCUCUUUUUUUGUCUUUCUUUAGUACAGGGUUCAUGAUUGUUUUUUUUUGCUUUUUUAUGUAAUGUGAGAACAAGGUGUGAAUUACUGGGAAAGGUAAUUAGUGGCAAAAGUUUUUAGCCAAUGAAAAACUGACACACCACACACUCACUUGGAAAAGUGCCAUGAUUUAGAUGUAAUCACUGUACUGUUUUCUAAUAUUGUCACUAAUAAAAUAUCAAUAUAA
ensembl:lncRNA